AGGUAAAAUGGUUUGAAAUCAUUGUUCCUGCUCCUUCAGCUCUGAAACAAAUUUCCACAGCCUACAAAAAGUUAUCUCAGUUCAACUUUAGUUUGCUAACUCCAGUGGCCUGUACUGCGAAGCGGGGUUACUGGCUUAUCGGGGUAACUUGUCGGAUUUAAGGUACCAGUUUAAAUUGACUUAAUAUUCGUUCACUUAAAUUUUGCCCAGACUACCUUAAAUCCGACAAGUUAAGUCAGUAACCCCGCUUCGUAGUACAGGCCCCAGGAGGUUUUCUCUGACUGUUACGCUGACUCAAAAUACUGCGGCCACGUCUCGUUGGUGCUGUAUAUAUUUACAGUACUUCUGCAGCAAUGCGUCUUCAUAAAAAGGGUUACUGAUCUGCGGUCUCUCCUGGAAGAAGCUGCCGAUGGAGGACCUGAAGAAGAUUGGCUGUUCUGCCGCUUCUCUCUGCACUUCGAAUGUCCUCGGCUGUCCUCGGACGCUGAAGGCCGUGCAGCUACCAGAAAGGAGACGGCCACGUCCCGGGGAAGGUAGCAAACUUCGACCGACCCGCGACAAGCCCGCAACGUAGACUGCCAUCAGGAGAGCUUACGGUCAAUUUUUACCGGCUCGCAAACUCUGUUCUGUAAAAUUGAGAAACGACAAAUAUCUUUAAAUAAUAAACACGCAUGUUCACCGCUGCACAUUGGAAUGAAAAUAUAUGAAGUAGGUCAAAAGUCAUCACGGAAUUAAACACAUAAUAAGUCAACAACAGACUGCAGGAAGCGUGUGGAAAAUGUAGCAUGAAAUUAAAAUUCAUAUUUUUAAAUACAAGAAGUACAUUAAAAAUCCUUAACAUGUUUUUAUAAUCUCAUCUAUUCUUCUAGUAUGUUCGGAUUUCUAAUUGCAUUGCGUGAGACAUAUAUUAAAAUGCUACUAAAAACGAUUUACUAAAUGCAUAAGACUAUGCAUUAUUGUUAUUAUAUUGUUAUUGUUUUACAAUUUAUACGCUUUACCUACCUACCAUUAAAACCUCUCUUUCGCCACCUUCCCGCAACAAGGCACAGAGAGGAAAAACUAGGUUUAGGAAAGCGGUACGUAUUUCCGGUAACGCACAUGGGAAGGUUUCAAAAUAAAAGCGUCUCAGUAGGCAAUUACAGUUAAGCAUUUCAUGAAAGCGGACCCCAUGGAUAGAUAACCAUGUCGCAACUACAUUUGAUCUAAAACAUUACAGGUGUCAGAAUGAAAAACUGACUUAAUCUCGGAAUAGUUGAAUGUGGAAAGCUGGGUACAUAUAUAUAGAACCAACAUACCGUGAAUCUCAAACGCUCUUGUUCACAGUUUUAAAUAUAAAUCCCGCAUGAGUAAAAGAAAGUGGCGAAACAGGCUGAAUCGAAAAUAAUAGAGUGUUAAGCAACACUAUUAACUCUAACCCCUGGUAAAAACUAUGGAAUCACUACACUUAGAAGAAAUUCUGACUCCAAAUAAACAAAUCACAGGUAGGACACAUAAAAAAAAUUGUUCACAGUUUUUCUCAGUCGCUUUGGCACAUUUCUCAGAUCAGAAAUUAAAUUCUCAUAACUACUUGUUCAACUUCAACAUCAUCGAGUCACUUGUGCACAUCAUAAAUUCAAAGUCUCAUUCAUUUGGUCAAAUUGCAAAUUUAAAUGAUUAUGUACAAUCAUCUACUGAUUCCUACAUUAUCAAUUGUUUAUGUCACGUUGGUCAAUAUAAAUUAUACUGGUACUCUGUUGAACAGUCUUACCCCCCAAAACAUCUAGACAUUAGUUCAUUGUAUAAGUCAUUCCAUGCAUAAAUGUGUCCUGAAUUUCUCUGGGAAGGUCUGAAGUGUUAGAUUGACCACUGAUCAAACAGAGCUUUAGAAUACCUCAGAGGUGCAUCUCAUGAACCUUCAGUUGGCAAGCAUAUAUCAACAGAGCACAACAUAGUGUUACAAUUUGACAAUGGAAGAGCAACAAGGAAAUGAACAGAGUCAAUAGCCGGUAAAGAGAAGCAUAAUAAGGCUGCACUGUGGAAUGGUAGGGAGACAAAACAGAGGAAGAGGUAGAAGAUGCCAAGAACAUGCACAUUCCUGAUGAAAUAAGGGAUACAAUUGUGGACCAUGUCCUCAAUUAUGGCUUUACAAUGGCUGAAGCUGGUCAAAGGCUACAGCCGAAUACUAGAACAACUGAGAUUGUCACGAGAGGAGUCGCGUAAAUAAGGAGGGCACUCUUGCAGAUCAGGCAGGUGAAAGGGCUUUAAUAUCCUUCGUAAAAUCCAGACAGAAAAAAGGAAAAUGUAAUCCAGGAAUCGUGGUCGAGGUACGGGCAGCGGUCGAGCGAUCUUCGUCGGCAAUUAAGGCACAGGGCAGGGCUAAGGAUCCGGGGACAGGCGGGUGUUCAGGCGGUCUUGGUCAAUACUCAGUGGGUUAUGCUAGAUUCGUCGUCGGAAAGGCAGAAUACGGUCAGGGCAAAAGGCAGGCAGAGAGAGGUACAGGCAGGCAAAGGGUAUAACGGGACAGAACGUCUCGAACUCUGGCUGGCGUGAUCGACGCGAAUAAGUAUGAUUCUUCAUUAACCCCAAUGGAACUCAGCUGACAGAGGGAGGUGUACAGUUAACGGUUCUACCGGUUCCCUGGACAGGCGGAGAUGGAGUAUUCCGGUCCCUGCUAAACUCCCUUCUCGGGAUACACCGAGGGCGUGGAAGGGAAGCCCCCGUGAUGUCAUAGGGGCUUCCUCGGCGCGGACCAUGACAUAGAGAUACAUUACCAUCCCGAAUUACCAUUAGUCUGUAUAGGGCAAGAUAAAAACUACUGGAGAAGCGCUCAGCAAGUCACAUAGCAAUGCAUUACCUUUAACAAUCCUAAAAAAUGACUUCAUCACCAAACCUUUAACUGAAAUGCAUUCCCACAUCAUAAAUGACUGGAGAAAUUACUUUACUUCAGUCAGUUGUCUUUAUAUGUUUCAUUAGAAUGGCACCAGACAAAAGUUCCAGCAUCAUCUCUUUAGCCAAUGCGGAUUCAUGAUUCAUGAGUGAAAAUCACUUUCAUCCAAUCAUUCUCACUUCUAUUUAGCCCACUGUAACCGCAUUUUCUUCUGUUUAGGUGUUAGUACUGGUUUUCAUUAUUUCUUGUCUAUAUGUAGGCCUAAAUCCCAUUUUAUUCAGCCGAUUUCUUACAGGUCGACUUCAGAAGGCACAGCACUGACUUAGCCCCCCUCUACAUCAACGGCGAGUGUGUGGAGAGGGUCCAUACCUUCUGGUUUCUCGGCAUCCUCUGCUCACAUCUCCUGGACAGACAUCACCACAGCAGUUACCAAGAAGACUCAGCAGUGGUUACACAACCCGGACUCCAACCUGCUACUGACCUUCUACCGCUCAUCCAUAGAGAGCCUGCUGACGUACUGUAUCACAGUAUGGUACGGCAGCUGCACCACGGCAGACAGGGAGGGGCUUCAGAGAGUAGUAAAGGCAGCACAGAAGAUCAUCAGUUGCCCUCUCCCCUCCCUGAUGGUUAUUUACACCUCCCGCUCCCACCCUGGCUCAGAUCUGUUUGACCUGCUGCCCUCAGGGAGGUGUUACAGGUGCAUCACAGCAAAGACAAACUGACUCAAGAACAGUUUUUUUUCCCAAAAGCCAUAACCACCCUUAACAUACACAUGCACUGACUGGACAGUAGACUGCACAGUCUAACCCCCCAACCCCUGGACUUCUUUCUAUCAACUGUGCAAUAUCCAUCACCUAAAUGGUAUUGAUAACUGUGCAAUACCUGUAUACUGUGCAAUAUCAUUGCUCUGUAUCCAACAUCUCCACUCUACUCACUACACAUUAUCAUUAUUACCCUAUAAUACCGAAUGUGUGAUAACCCACACUUCAUAUCACAUUGUAUAUUCAUAUAUUUAAAACCCUAUUUAGUUAUUUGUUCCAUAUGUAUAUAGCGCUACAGAACUUUUGCACUAUUUGUUUAUUGUUUGUGGUGUGUACAUGUUUGCACUGAAUGUGCUGCUCUUAAUCUCAUUAUACAUGUGUAUAGUGACAAGAAAAGGCAUUCAUUCAUUCAUUCUGUUACGAACAUAGACUCAUGUUUCCA